GCUUUCCAGCAGGAUCUGGCAGUGCUCGGUGGCCUCCCAGAGGCCUCCGUCUGCUCCGCUUUUGCUCUUCUCCCUCUACUAGAGGCCGAGUCCUCCCCGGCCCCCCAGGGGGCUUAGCCUGCCCCGGCCCUGAACAUCCCGUACCGGGGUGACGAAUCACUGCUUUCCCCGAGUCAGCGAGGGGUGCCGUGAGGCGUGUUGGGCCUAGUCAGGAAGCCCCGAGUUCAGGUCCCAACUCAGACCCUUCCUCGUGGUGACCCUGGGCGAGUCCCUGCCCCGUUGGCCGCCGUUUCUUCUGUCCCACAAGGAGGGCAACCCCCAUGGUUUAGAGGCUCCUCUGGCCCACUCCGUGCCCUCUGUCCCACAAGGAGGUGGAGCUCAGGGAUAGCAUUUGUGCUUCGGUUCCGACAGGUACCCCUCGACCCAGUUCGGCAGCUUGACGGGCCUCCAGUCUCUGGUCAGCGCUCUCUUCGCCCUCCUGCAGCAGCCCUUGUUCAUGGCCAUGAUGGGGCCCCUCCAGGGAGACCCGCUCUGGGUCAACGUGGGGCUCCUGGGAGUGAGCAUGCUGGGCUUCUGCCUGCCCCUCUACCUGAUCUUCUACCGGCGGCAGCUGCAGAGGCAGCUGGCCCAGAAGAGAGAGGACGAGAAGCUCUUCCUCAAGAUCAACGGCACCCCCAAUCAGGAGGCUUUCGUGUAGGGUGCCUGGGCCGCCUUGGGCCCUCCCCCUCCAGCCGUGGCUGCCUCGGGUCCCCACCUCUGCCACUCCAGGAGCUGGGGCCUUGUUGGGGGGCCCGCCUGACCUUUCUUCUCUGACCAGAGCUGCCCAUGGGACAGGCCCCCCGUCCUCCUCCCUGAGGCCCCCCAGCACCCCGGAGCCCCCGGCUGGCCGCCCCACACACUGGACAGGAUGCUCUGACUCCUGUGGCCAGGGAGCCUCCCUCCUGAGCGAAGGGGCUGCGCCUCCCUCAGCCGUUUGAAGAGGGGCUGUCGGGCCAGCUGCCCCUCCGCUGCAUGCCAACACAAUUGACCCACGACGCCGGGCUUUAGCCCGGCCGGCCGCUCUGCUCUGCUUGGCCCGGAGACCUCCGGAUGGGAGGAAGGAAGGACCCUGGCGCCGUCCUUGGUGCUAACUCUCUUGGGGCUCGGCCUUGUCCUAUGCAUGCGAGCUCCCCCCUCCUGGGUCCGGGAGGCAGGAAGCCGGAGGCCAAGUCCUUGGAGGGGGCAGCCGAGGCCUCUGGGGGCGGGCGGGGGCCGCAGCCUGGCUGGCAUUGAGGGGACGAGGGAUCAGGGUGCUACACGACCUCCUCACUGUUUUGGGGGGUGGGGAGGACAAUGGGGGGCAGAAGCGGUUCUUGGCUAGAAUCACCCCAGUGUGAAUGGCAGCGUGUGUAUGUGCUUGUGGUGUGUUUAGAGCAGAGCCCGGGGCGCCCCCGCCUCCAGGGAUGCGGCUGUGGGCACGCGGCGCCCCCUGGUGGCAGACUUCCCCAAGUCAUGGGCCCUGGAGGACGCCGCCGGCUGGGUCCUCUUUUUAAUGGACGUCCUGCUAGGUCCCGAGUGGCGCGCCUGGGCUCCGCGCUUCUCCGUUGGUUGAUUGAAUUCGAGGGUUUCUCAAACUUUUUUGGGGGGGGGAGGGGUAAAGCAAUAAAUCCAUCUUCCUCAUA